rnacentral:tRNA from 1 species
AUCUAAAUAGUUUAAAUAAAAUAUUGAUUUGUGAUAUCAAAGAUAUAGCUAUAUUUUAGAUU